UACAGAGGGUGCAAGCGUUGUUCGGAAUUAUUGGGCGUAAAGCGCGUGUAGGCGGCUUGGCAAGUCAGAUGUGAAAGCCCUCGGCUUAACCGAGGAAGUGCGUCUGAAACUGCUGAGCUUGAGUCUCGGAGAGGAUGGCGGAAUUCCGCAAGUAGAGGUGAAAUUCGUAGAUAUCAAGCGGAACACCGGUGGCGAAGGCGGCCUUCUGGACAGUGACUGACGCUGAGAUGCGAAAGCGUGGGGAGCAAACAGG
rnacentral:rRNA from 1 species